rnacentral:rRNA from 1 species
UACGUAGGGUGCAAGCGUUGUCCGGAAUUAUUGGGCGUAAAGAGCUUGUAGGCGGUUUGUCGCGUCUGCUGUGAAAUUUCGGGGCUCAACCCCGAACUUGCAGUGGGUACGGGCAGACUAGAGUGUGGUAGGGGAGACUGGAAUUCCUGGUGUAGCGGUGAAAUGCGCAGAUAUCAGGAGGAACACCAAUAGCGAAGGCAGCUCGCUGGGACGGUACUGACGCUGAGACGCGAAAGCGUGGGGAGCGAACAGG